rnacentral:rRNA from 1 species
AUGGCUCAGGAUGAACGCUAGCUACAGGCUAACACAUGCAAGUCGAGGGUAGCAGGGUAGCAAUACCGCUGACGACCGGCGCACGGGUGAGUAACACGUAUCCAACCUUCCCAUAACUCAGGGAUAGCCUUUCGAAAGAAAGAUUAAUACCUGAUAGUACUUUUUCAAGGCAUCUUGAGAAAGUUAAAGAUUUAUUGGUUAUGGAUGGGGAUGCGUUCCAUUAGAUAGUUGGUGAGGUAACGGCUCACCAAGUCUUCGAUGGAUAGGGGUUCUGAGAGGAAGGUCCCCCACAUUGGUACUGAGACACGGACCAAACUCCUACGGGAGGCAGCAGUGAGGAAUAUUGGUCAAUGGGCGAGAGCCUGAACCAGCCAAGUAGCGUGAAGGAAUGAAGGUCCUAUGGAUUGUAAACUUCUUUUAUAGUAGAAUAAAGUGAUCCACGUGUGGAUUUUUGUAUGUAUACUAUGAAUAAGGAUCGGCUAACUCCGUGCCAGCCGCCGC